rnacentral:rRNA from 1 species
UGGGGAAUAUUGGACAAUGGGCGAAAGCCUGAUCCAGCCAUGCCGCGUGUGUGAAGAAGGUCUUCGGAUUGUAAAGCACUUUUAGUCGGGAGGAAGGGCAGUAAGCGAAUACCUUGCUGUUUUGACGUUACCGACAGAAUAAGCACCGGCUAACUCUGUGCCAGCAGCCGCGGGAAUACAGAGGGUGCAAGCGUUAAUCGGAAUUACUGGGCGUAAAGCGCGCGUAGGUGGUUCGUUAAGUUGAAUGUGAAAGCCCCGGGCUCAACCUGGGAACUGCAUCCAAAACUGGCGAGCUAGAGUAGGGCAGAGGGUGGUGGAAUUUCCUGUGUAGCGGUGAAAUGCGUAGAGAUCUGGAGGAAUACCGAUGGCGAAGGCAGCCAUCUGACAUAACACUGACGCUGAGGUACGAAAGCAUGGGGAGCAAACAGG